UAUGGCCAUAUUGUGUUGAAACACUGAUCCUGUCCAAUCACUAAAGUUAAGCAAUGUCAAGCCUGAUCAGUACCUAGAUGGGUGACCGCUUGAGAAUACCAGGUGCUGUAAG